ensembl:lncRNA LINC02542 long intergenic non-protein coding RNA 2542
AUAACUGUGUUCUUUAGCAGAAAGGUGUUUUAUUAAAGAAGCAUAUGGACAAGGAACUAUCUCUGAAAUGUUUUCAGAGCUUCUCUGGUGUUACAUGCAUAGUAAAUAUUUUCUUUAAAUUAGAUGAAAAAUAUGGAUCCCCAUCCAUGUACCUUUGCUCAACUGUCCUCAGACCAGAUCCAGAAUUCACCCUGCUGUUUCUCCAUGAGUCUGACCUGCAUCAACUGCCUCCCUUAUUCUGGGAUUCCAGUUGUGGAGCUCAAGGACAAGUCCAUUCUGGGCUGGCUGUAUCCAACUUCUUUAGUCCAACUAUAUCCCCACUGGAAGCCAGGCUCUUUCCAACAGCUGUCACCCAUGCCUCUUUCUAUGUUUGUUAUCUGUCUCUAGGUUCUGGUAACUACUUCCUUCCCUUGCCCCUUCUGGCCUAGGGUGCUACCAAUCCCUCCUCCAAAUCCAACUGUCACUAGCCUCAAAGUACUUGUAGCUUCCUCACCUUACUUUCACCUUAAUAAAUGGUCCCCCUACUAUCUCUCUUCAAAGCACCCAA